rnacentral:lncRNA from 1 species
CUUCCCCUUCUUCCGGGCUCCCGUCCCGGCUCAUCACCCGGCCUGUGGCCCACUCCCACCGCCAGCUGGAACCCUGGGGACUACGACGUCCCUCAAACCUUGCUUCUAGGAGAUAAAAAGGCCUCACCUCCUGCCGGCUCCGCCCGGCCCGGCCCACCUCGCCCCCACCUCGGCGCCCACCCAUUGUCCCCUCGCGCAGUCACCGAGCGCAGAUCCCGCGCUCUCGAUUGGAACGCCUCCCCAUCACUCAGCCACACUCAGGGGCUGGACGCCUCACUCCCGUUUCCGAGCCAUAAAAGGUCUAGGACCGCUUCCCCCGAGCCAGCAGGUGCACUCGGGACAAGCGUAGAGGAGCUGGAAGCCGAGCGGGGUGGGAGGAGUGGCGGCUGCGGGCGAGGACGCGCGCGCCUCCGCUCGCCCUCCAGCGCGGGCGGGCAGGACGAGCGCCGGGGAGCGGCGGUUACGCGGGGCCCCGAUCGCUGUGGGCACCAAUCAACGGUUGCCAUAGCAGCGUUUGACGUCAUCGUGCGUGUGGUGCCCCUGCUGCCGGGGCUGGUGAUUGGAGGAAACCCCGUGUCUGCGGAGCGGCUGUAGCCUGUGAGCAGCGAGAUCCAGGGACAGAGUCUCAGCCUCGCCGCUGCUGCCGCCGCCGCCGCCCAGAGACUGCUGAGCCCGUCCGUC